CACUCCUACGGGAGGCAGCAGUGGGGAAUAUUGCACAAUGGGCGCAAGCCUGAUGCAGCCAUGCCGCGUGUAUGAAGAAGGCCUUCGGGUUGUAAAGUACUUUCAGCGGGGAGGAAGGCAAUACGGUUAAUAACCGUGUUGAUUGACGUUACCCGCAGAAGAAGCACCGGCUAACUCCGUGCCAGCAGCCGCGGUAAUACGGAGGGUGCAAGCGUUAAUCGGAAUUACUGGGCGUAAAGCGCACGCAGGCGGUCUGUCAAGUCGGAUGUGAAAUCCCCGGGCUCAACCUGGGAACUGCAUUCGAAACUGGCAGGCUUGAGUCUUGUAGAGGGGGGUAGAAUUCCAGGUGUAGCGGUGAAAUGCGUAGAGAUCUGGAGGAAUACCGGUGGCGAAGGCGGCCCCUUGGACAAAGACUGACGCUCAGGUGCGAAAGCGUGGGGAGCAAACAGGAUUAGAUACCCGAGUAGUCC
rnacentral:rRNA from 1 species